rnacentral:rRNA from 1 species
AUGCACGCUGGCGGCGUGCCUCAUCCAUGCAAGUCGCGCGAACAGACGAGGAGCUUGCUCCUCUGACGUUAGCGGCGGACGGGUGAGUAACACGUGGAUAACCUACCUAUAAGACUGGGAUAACUUCGGGAAACCGGAGCUAAUACCGGAUAAUAUAUUGAACCGCCUGGUUCAAUAGUGAAAGACGGUUUUGCUGUCACUUAUAGAUGGAUCCGCGCCGCAUUAGCUAGUUGGUAAGGUAACGGCUUACCAAGGCAACGAUGCGUAGCCGACCUGAGAGGGUGAUCGGCCACACUGGAACUGAGACACGGUCCAGACUCCUACGGGAGGCAGCAGUAGGGAAUCUUCCGCAAUGGGCGAAAGCCUGACGGAGCAACGCCGCGUGAGUGAUGAAGGUCUUCGGAUCGUAAAACUCUGUUAUUAGGGAAGAACAAAUGUGUAAGUAACUAUGCACGUCUUGACGGUACCUAAUCAGAAAGCCACGGCUAACUACGUG